rnacentral:lncRNA from 1 species
CCCAUUGAUCAGAUUUCAAUGAUCAUAUCUACAAUUUAUCACACCAUACAGUCACCAUCCCCCAUUACCACACUGUACUACGCCACACGAACUGCAAGUCCAAGGCGAAAUCAUACGGCGGAGCAAGAAGCAAAGGAAAGAGGUGGGAGGAAAGGGCCGGGGGGAGGAUGUAGUAACCACCGAAACCCCCAUCCCACCUGAUGUUGUGCUGCCACCAGCGCCCUGGGCAGUACUUGACCCCUCAGAG